ensembl:lncRNA
CACAGAUAUUGAUGUUUCCAUUUAUCCUCAUCAGGAGCAAGCCCUAACGAACAAAGGUUUCAAAAUAAUCAAUGUUGAUCUGAACAAAGGCACUAGCGGAAACCAUAUUUACCUCUGGUACAAGGAGGGCAGCAGCAAUCCCAUCACCAGAUUGCAGGUUACAUUCAAAGAUGACAUGCAAAAUGGUUUGAGGAAUGCAGGUUACCGUAAGGUGGAUAGAGACCUCAACGCUGGGGCUGGAGGAGAUGAAAUCUUUCUCUGGUACUACAAAGGUACAACUGAGUAUGACAACCCUAUAGUGGAUCUUAAGGUCACCUCAAAUGCAACAGAUGAAGCCCAAUAUUACCAGAAUGGCUGGGAACGACUGACGUGUGACCUGAAUCGCGAAGCUAAAGGGCUACACCCGUGUGGAUGAAGAUGUGAAUCGAGCUGCAGGAGAAGCCUUUGUCUUUCUUUGGUAUCGUCAGUCCCAAACAUAUUACCAAACCAUCAAUCUCCUGGAUGUCUCCACUAACCGCGAGGAAGAGGAAAGCCUUCAGAUACAGGGUUAUACCGCUGUUGGUGUUAAUCUCAAUGAAGGAACACGAGGCCCCCGGAUAAAUGCCUGGUACAAGAAGGGUUCAGACCGUCCCAUCCAGACCUUCACUGUAAUAUUUCAACAUGAAAUGAGUCCUUAUGCGCAGGCUGGCAUCCAAGUCAUUGAAAAAAAUCUGAAUACAGGCAACAAAGGCACCCCCUUGUACCUGGCAUACCAAUGAGAUCAGGGGUUUCAUUUUCUGUAUUCCAUGUGCUCAGUAUACCUGUCAAAUUAGCGUAGCAUCACAUAGCUUAGAACAAGAUAGCACAACAACACAAAUACCAUGUAACAUGUUAAAGAAAACCUGUGGAUCAAGUCAGUUUAACACAGUCUUCAUGCAUUUUUUACAUUUAAUCUUCUAAUCAGAUUGUAUUUGAGAUAUCUAUAUUGUUGUUGUUGUUACUCCUUAUGCCUUUUGUGAUAUGGGUCAACA